rnacentral:lncRNA from 1 species
AUGGGAUCCCUGUUGCUGUCACCUGGCCCCAGCCAGCCCACAGAGACUCCGUGUAAGCUGUCCGAUGCUUCCAGAAGGCAGGGGAAGCCCUGCAUCACUUGGGCUGAGAAAUGGCUGGAGUCUCAGAAAGCCAGCUGCCACUGGAUCACUGAGAAAGCAGCCGACUCACUCCUGGCCACCUUCCCCAAACCUCUAUGUGCUGAGACAAUCCACGGGCAUCCCCUCCUCUCCCUACCCUGCAAAUGAAAUCUGGGGUCAAUUUCUCUGCCUCUCCCAGGCUCUGAUUAGGACUUAUUUCUUUCACUAAACAAAAUAAAGGGACUGUCCAAGUCCUAAUUUGAGCAACUCCUUCAUUUAAUUUACUCAUGCUACCCUGUUAGCAUUAUACUGGUGUUCCCAAGUAUUAUUACUUUUACUGUUCUAAAGGAGCUGGUUCUGACCCCGCAGCUGGAAAAGACGCCCUUUGUCUGCUGCUCCCAGCCUGGUCCUGCCAGGAGCAGCCACAGCUCGGCUGUGUUUAUUUGAGUUAUGCAACAUAAACAGCUCCA